GGAAUAUUGGGCAAUGGGAGAAAUCCUGACCCAGCGACGCCGCGUGAACGAAGACGGCCUUCGGGUUGUAAAGUUCUUUUAUGUGGGAAGAAGGAAGUGACGGUACCACAUGAAUAAGCCCCGGCUAACUACGUGCCAGCAGCCGCGGUAAUACUGUAGGGGGCGAGCGUUGUCCGGAAUUACUGGGCGUAAAGGGCACGCAGGCUGUGCUUCAAGUCAGCUGUAAAAGGAUGCGGCUUAACCGUGUUAUGCAGUUGAGACUGAGGUGCUGGAGUACCGGAGAGGCAAGUGGAAUUCCCAGUGUAGCGGUGAAAUGCGUAGAUAUUGGGAAGAACAUCGGUGGCGAAGGCGACUUGCUGGACGGUAACUGACGCUGAGGUGCGAAAGCCAGGGUAGCGAACGGGAUUAGAUACCCCGGUAGUCCUGGCCGUAAACGAUGAAUGCUAGGUGUGCGAGCAGAGAUGUUGGCGUGCCGCAGUUAACGCGAUAAGCAUUCCGCCUGGGGAGUACGGUCGCAAGAUUGAAACUCAAAGGAAUUGACGGGGGCCCGCACAAGCGGUGGAGCACGUGGUUUAAUUCGAUGCAAACCGAAGAAC
rnacentral:rRNA from 1 species